GACGAACGCUGGCGGCGUGCUUAACACAUGCAAGUCGAACGCUGAAGCUUGGUGCUUGCACUGGGUGGAUGAGUGGCGAACGGGUGAGUAAUACGUGAGUAACCUGCCCUUGACUCUGGGAUAAGCCUGGGAAACUGGGUCUAAUACUGGAUAAGACAUGUCACCACAUGGUGUUGUGUUGAAAGGGUUUUACUGGUUUUGGAUGGGCUCACGGCCUAUCAGCUUGUUGGUGGGGUAAUGGCUCACCAAGGCGACGACGGGUAGCCGGCCUGCGAGGGUGACCGGCCACACUGGGACUGAGGCACGGGCCAGACGCCUACGGGAGGCAGCAGUGGGAAAUAGUGCGAAAUGGGCGGAAGGCUGAUGCAGCGACGUCGGGUGAGGGAUGACGGUCGUCGGGUUGGAAACCUCGUGCAGCAGGGAAGAAGCGAAAGUGACGGUACGUGCAGAAGAAGCGCCGGCUAACUACGUG
rnacentral:rRNA from 1 species